rnacentral:sRNA from 20 species
AACUGUUCCCCUCUGGAGGUUCAUACCUUCAAAACUAAUGGGCCGCGGUUUUCCGACGGCCCUUUUUUUCUCUUCCGA